rnacentral:lncRNA from 1 species
UUUCUCGACGAAGCCCGGGAGGUGUUUUUGGGAGCAGGUGGGGGUGAAGGCGCCGGGGACGGCGAAGAGGAUUGCUUUUUUAUUGGAGGUGAGGUCGGAGACGGUGAUGGUCUGGAGCUCGCCAGCGGAGUCGAAGUAGGAGAGGGUGGCGUCGGGGAGCUUGUCGCCCACGGAAAUGGCGGCGGAGACUGGCGUGGCGUUGGUGGAGAGAGAGAGUUUUGUGGUGGCGGGUUUUGCGAGGAGGCGGUGGCGG